rnacentral:rRNA from 1 species
AGCAGCCGCGGUAAUUCCAGCUCCAAUAGCGUAUAUUAAAGUUGUUGCAGUUAAAAAGCUCGUAGUUGAAUUUCGGGGUCAGUAGGUUGGUCAUGCCACUGGUAUGUACUGGUCUCACUGAUUCCUCCUUCCUGAUGAACUGUAAUGCCAUUAAUUUGGUGUUGCAGGGAAUCUGGACUGUUACUUUGAAAAAAUUAGAGUGUUUAAAGCAGGCUAACGCCUGAAUACAUUAGCAUGGAAUAAUGAAAUAGGACGUUCGAUCCUAUUUUGUUGGUUUCUAGGAUUGACGUAAUGAUUAAUAGGGAUAGUUGGGGGCAUUAGUAUUCAAUUGUCAGAGGUGAAAUUCUUGGAUUUAUUGAAGACUAACUACUGCGAAAGCAUUUGCCAAGGAUGUUUUCAUUAAUCAAGAACGAAAGUUAGGGGAUCGAAGACGAUCAGAUACCGUCGUAG